rnacentral:rRNA from 1 species
AGUGAACGCUGGCGGUAGGCCUAACACAUGCAAGUCGAACGGCAGCACAGUAAGAGCUUGCUCUUACGGGUGGCGAGUGGCGGACGGGUGAGGAAUACAUCGGAAUCUACUUUUUCGUGGGGGAUAACGUAGGGAAACUUACGCUAAUACCGCAUACGACCUAAGGGUGAAAGCAGGGGAUCUUCGGACCUUGCGCGAUUGAAUGAGCCGAUGUCGGAUUAGCUAGUUGGCGGGGUAACGGCCCACCAAGGCGAGGAACCGUAGCUGGUCUGAGAGGAUGAUCGGCCACACUGGAACUGAGACGCGGUCCAGACUCCUACGGGAGGCAGCAGUGGGGAAUAUUAGACAAUGGGCGCAAGCCUGAUCCAGCCAUACCGCGUGGGUGAAGAAGGCCUUCGGGUUGUAAAGCCCUUUUGUUGGGAAAGAAAAUCAGCAGGUUAAUACCCCGCUAUUCUGACGGUACCCACAGAAUAAGCACCGGCUAACUACGUG